rnacentral:rRNA from 1 species
CAGUCGCCGCGGUAAUACGUAGGGCGCAAGCGUUGUCCGGAAUUAUUGGGCGUAAAGAGCUCGUAGGCGGUCUGUCGCGUCUGGUGUGAAAUCCCGAGGCUCAACCUCGGGCUUGCAUCGGGUACGGGCAGACUAGAGUGCGGUAGGGGAGACUGGAAUUCCUGGUGUAGCGGUGGAAUGCGCAGAUAUCAGGAGGAACACCGAUGGCGAAGGCAGGUCUCUGGGCCGCAACUGACGCUGAGGAGCGAAAGCAUGGGGAGCGAACAGGAUUAGAUACCCGCGUAGUCCCUGUCUCUUAUAA